CAUAGAGAAAAGAAUAUUUAUCGUUUGUUUUCGAUUCGUCUUCGAUCAUACUUGGGCUACUACGUUACUUACGCGCACUCCUGGAUUAUUCCCCGACACGAUCAACCCUUUUAACGUACGAUGCGUUCGAAGAUAGUGACACGAUACUUCUUCCAAUGCAGAUCGUCAACGAUGGAUCGAUUUGUCCAAGUUAUGGGACUCAAACUCUACGAUAUUUGAUAGACAUUCGUUAUAAUAAUAAAUUCAAAUGCGCAUAUGAUAAUUACAUCAGCUUUCGCUUCACCCGUAGCAGUACUUCUCGAAUUAGAUCCUCACGUACCCCCUUUUUCUGUUCCUUCAAUUUCGUGUAUCGAAUUAAAAGAGAAAAAUGAAAAAAAAAAUACUUCGUUUUAAUUGUUCUACGUGCGUGCGAAAAACGAAGGCUUCGAUUUGCCACGGGGUAAACUAAAUGAUAAAUGUUAUAUUAAUUAAGCGAUUCGUAAUAACAACAAAAGAAACAAUAAUAUUAAUAACAAUGAUAAUAUUAACAACAACAAUAAUAAUAAUAAUUAUAAUAAUAAUAUUGUCGUAUCAAAGUGAAGGAGGAAUAGUUAUUUUUGUGUUUUAUUGGGUUGGGUGAUGCGUGUACAUAUGUUAGGACACCUCGCUUUAUACGUAGAACGAAAUACUGAGGAACCCAGAAAGUCGACUCCGGUUACCGAACAUCUGGUGAAUCGGUCAUCUUUUUCUUUCCCUUGUUGCUUCGUCGCAUCGUGCUCCUCCCUCGAUCGAACACAUUUACCGUUCAUUCAUCUGUUAUUCUUCCCUCGAAGAGUCACCGAGGGGACCGAAAACAAAACUGGCAUAGACUCGCGCAGAUAGCGUGAAACCCGGAGCAAAAAGGAACAAAAGGAAAAGAGAUGUAAAGCGCGCAUUAGAUGCACACACAUGCAAACGGCUUCUCGAGAAAUGUAAAACACUGGCUCUUGGAUAAACAGACUUGGACACAACUCUUCCACAUGAGAGAAGAGAAAACUGAGUAUAAAAGAAGAAUCGAUACCGAUAUGGGAUUAGUAUUGUGCGACGUGAGCGAAGAUGUAGCGAUGACUACGCAUAGGAUAGUUAGCACGUAUUCGUAACGAAAGAAUCCUAUCGAGAAAGGAACGAAUUGUUGAUCGUAUUAAUCAGGUAGCGCGGGACCGCCGUAACUUCGCGUAAAAUACACACGUAACGUUUGUGCGUCCCUAGGAAACAGUACUAUUAUAAUACAAACUAUUAUUGCUGUGGUGGUAAUAAUGUUUAUUAAUUAUUAUCUUAUUAUAAAUAACACUGGAAAACCUACUUAUAGGAAAAUGGAAGGCAAAUAGGAAAACGUACGUCGGUCUUUCGGUUGAGACACGCUAUACACGAGUACGAUAUAAGUACAUACAAUAAAAGAUGUUCUAUUAGUUGAACCACGCUCGAUUCUCUAGAAGUACAUAGGUCAGACAAAUGUUCAUUUCGGUUGAACGUUUAAAGACGGGUUUCUUGGCGGGGAGUUUGUCGACAAGUGUUCAAACACGUACGUAUAUCCAUACAGCGGCGACGAUGACGACGACGACGACGACGACGACCAGGACGGUAACCUUAUCGUCCGUCGUCUAACGUUUAUCGCUUAUCGCUUUAUCGUUAUCAUUAUUGGGAAGGUCCUCCGCUAUAUGUAUGUAUACAUAUAUAUGUAGGUAUGUAUGCGAGCAGAGGCAGAGGCGCGAGAUAACGUAAGGAGGCGCGUAAAGAAAGAGCUGUUGCGAAUAUAAUCGCGGGAGCACUUCGAUGAUUAUUGUCUAACGAUAAGAACACGUUGUUAUAAUAAUUUAAAGCCUAUUUUCGAAUUUGAUUUAUGAAAAUUGCGAUAUACGACACACAGAACUAUUAUGUGACAUGCAACAGUAAGGUAAAUAAAUGGCAAGUAAAGAAACGAUCGUGAA